GGGUUUGUGGCUCAGUGGUAGAGUGCUCGCCUGGCAUGUGAGAGGCACUGGGUUCCAUCCUCAAUCCCA
rnacentral:tRNA from 1 species